GAUGAAGAACGCAGCGAAAUGCGAUAAGUAAUGUGAAUUGCAGAAUUCAGUGAAUCAUCGAGUCUUUGAACGCACAUUGCGCCCCCUGGUAUUCCGGGGGGCAUGCCUGUCCGAGCGUCAUUGCCGCCCUCAAGCACGGCUUGUGUGUUGGGCCCCCGCCCCCCGGCUUCGGGGGGCGGGCCCGAAAGGCAGCGGCGGCACCGCGUCCGGUCCUCGAGCGUGUGGGGCUUCGUCACCCGCUCUGUAGGCCCGGCCGGCGCCCGCCGGCGACCCCAAUCAAUCUUUCCAGGUUGACCUCGGAUCAGGUAGGGAUACCCGCUGAACUUAAGCAUAUCAAUAAGCGGAGGA
rnacentral:misc_RNA from 1 species